rnacentral:rRNA from 1 species
GAUGAACGCUGGCGGCGUGCCUAAUACAUGCAAGUCGAGCGAAUGGAUUAAGAGCUUGCUCUUAUGAAGUUAGCGGCGGACGGGUGAGUAACACGUGGGUAACCUGCCCAUAAGACUGGGAUAACUCCGGGAAACCGGGGCUAAUACCGGAUAACAUUUUGAACCGCAUGGUUCGAAAUUGAAAGGCGGCUUCGGCUGUCACUUAUGGAUGGACCCGCGUCGCAUUAGCUGGUUGGUGAGGUAACGGCUCACCAAGGCAACGAUGCGUAGCCGACCUGAGCGGGUGGUCGGGCACACUGGGACUGGGACACGGACCAGACUCCUACGGGAGGAAGCAGUAGGGAAUCUUCCGCAAUGGACGAAAGUCUGGCGGAGCAACGCCGCGUGAGUGAUGAAGGCUUUCGGGUCGUAAAACUCUGUUGUUAGGGAAGAACAAGUGCUAGUUGAAUAAGCUGGCACCUUGACGGUACCUAACCAGAAAGCCACGGCUAACUACGUGCCAGCCGCCGCGGUAA